rnacentral:rRNA from 1 species
UGCAGUCGAACGAACUCUGGUAUUGAUUGGUGCUUGCAUCAUGAUUUACAUUUGAGUGAGUGGCGAACUGGUGAGUAACACGUGGGAAACCUGCCCAGAAGCGGGGGAUAACACCUGGAAACAGAUGCUAAUACCGCAUAACAACUUGGACCGCAUGGUCCGAGUUUGAAAGAUGGCUUCGGCUAUCACUUUUGGAUGGUCCCGCGGCGUAUUAGCUAGAUGGUGGGGUAACGGCUCACCAUGGCAAUGAUACGUAGCCGACCUGAGAGGGUAAUCGGCCACAUUGGGACUGAGACACGGCCCAAACUCCUACGGGAGGCAGCAGUAGGGAAUCUUCCACAAUGGACGAAAGUCUGAUGGAGCAACGCCGCGUGAGUGAAGAAGGGUUUCGGCUCGUAAAACUCUGUUGUUAAAGAAGAACAUAUCUGAGAGUAACUGUUCAGGUAUUGACGGUAUUUAACCAGAAAGCCACGGCUAACUACGUGCCAGCAGCCGCGGUAAUACGUAGGUGGCAAGCGUUGUCCGGAUUUAUUGGGCGUAAAGCGAGCGCAGGCGGUUUUUUAAGUCUGAUGUGAAAGCCUUCGGCUCAACCGAAGAAGUGCAUCGGAAACUGGGAAACUUGAGUGCAGAAGAGGACAGUGGAACUCCAUGUGUAGCGGUGAAAUGCGUAGAUAUAUGGAAGAACACCAGUGGCGAA